AGCAUGUGUGUAUGGACACUACCAGUCAAAAGUCUGGACACACCGACUCAUUCCGGUGUUUUUCUUUAUUUGAACUAUUCUCUACAUUGUAGAAUAAUAGUGAAGACAUCAAAACUAUGGAAUAACACAUAUGGAAUCAUGUUGGAACCAAAAAAGUAUUAAACAUAUUUGAGAUUCUUCAAAGUAGCCACCCUUUGCCUUGAUGACAGCUUGGCACACUCUUGGCAUUCUCUCAACCAGCUUCAGGAGGUAUUCACCUGGAAUAGGUGCACCUUGCUAAAAGUUAAUUUGUUGAUUUGCAGUCCAAAUAAAUGCUUCACGGAGUUCAAGUUCAAGGAGUCUACAUGAAUCAGGACUUCAUGGUCGAAUUGCUUCAAAGAAACCACGACUAAAGGACACCAAUAAGAAGAAGAGACUUGCUUGGGCCAAGAAACACGAGCAAUGGACAUUAGACCAGUGGAGAUCUGUCCUUUGGUCUGAUGAGUCCAAAUGUGCUAUUUUUGCUUCCAGUCGACGUGUUUGUGAGACGUAGAGUAGGUGAAUGGAUCAUCUCCACAUGUUUGGUUCCCACCGUGAAGCAUGGAGGAGGAGGUGUGAUGGUGCUUUAAUGAUGUCUGUGUCUUUGUGAGACGUAGAGUAGGUGAAUGGAUCAUCUCCACAUGUUUGGUUCCCACCGUGAAGCAUGGAGGAGGAGGUGUGAUGGUGCUUUAAUGAUGUCUGUGUCUUUGUGAGACGUAGAGUAGGUGAAUGGAUCAUCUCCACAUGUUUGGUUCCCACCGUGAAGCAUGGAGGAGGAGGUGUGAUGGUGCUUUAAUGAUGUCUGUGUCUUUGUGAGACGUAGAGUAGGUGAAUGGAUCAUCUCCACAUGUUUGGUUCCCACCGUGAAGCAUGGAGGAGGAGGUGUGAUGGUGCUUUAAUGAUGUCUGUGUCUUUGUGAGACGUAGAGUAGGUGAAUGGAUCAUCUCCACAUGUUUGGUUCCCACCGUGAAGCAUGGAGGAGGAGGUGUGAUGGUGCUUUAAUGAUGUCUGUGUCUUUGUGAGACGUAGAGUAGGUGAAUGGAUCAUCUCCACAUGUUUGGUUCCCACCGUGAAGCAUGGAGGAGGAGGUGUGAUGGUGCUUUAAUGAUGUCUGUGUCUUUGUGAGACGUAGAGUAGGUGAAUGGAUCAUCUCCACAUGUUUGGUUCCCACCGUGAAGCAUGGAGGAGGAGGUGUGAUGGUGCUUUAAUGAUGUCUGUGUCUUUGUGAGACGUAGAGUAGGUGAAUGGAUCAUCUCCACAUGUUUGGUUCCCACCGUGAAGCAUGGAGGAGGAGGUGCUUUGCUGUUGACACUGUCGUGAUUUAUUUAAGAGGGAAGGCACACUUAACCAGCAUAGUUAAGCAUUCUGCAGCGAUGCGCUAAACCAUCUGGUUUGGCCUUAGUUCCACUAUUAUUUGUUUUUCAACAGGACCAUGACCCAACCAACACACCUUGUUGUUUAAGGGCUAUUUUACCAAGAAGGAGAGUGAUGGAGUGCUGUAUCAGAUGACCUGGCCUCCACAAUCACCCAACAUCCACUCAAUUUGGAUGGUUUGGGAUGAGUUGGACCUCGGAUUGAAGAAAACGCAGCGAACAAGUGCUCAGCAUAUGUGGGAACUCCUUCAAGACUGUUGGAAAAGCAUUCCUCAUGAAGUUGGUUGAGAGAAUUCAAGAGUGUGCAAAGCUGUCAAGGUAAAGGGUGGCUACUUUGAAGAAUCUCAAAUCUAAAAUAUAUUUAGAUUUGUUUAACACAUUUGUUCUAUCUAUCUCUGCAGUAGACUGCGACUCCGCCCCCUUUGGCAGAUUUGUGGUUACAACAUGGUUCCAUAUGUGUUGUUUCAUAGUGUUGAUGUUUUCACUAUUAUUCUACAAUGUAGAAAAUAGUCCAAAUGAAUCAGUAUGUCCAAACCUUUGACUGGUACUGUAAAUGUGAUGAUGGUGGUGUAAGCAAUGUUUGUAUGUAUAAUGUGUGUGUAACG